ensembl:lncRNA
CUCAGGCAUUUCUUUCCCGGUGGUGCUCGGACAGGGAAGGUAUCACCCCCUCCAGUCACACUGGCUUAUCAGCCCGAGGAGAUGGAAAGGGAGCAGCCUGUGGAAUGUCAGGCCCUGCUGGCUGCACGCCCAUAUACAGUUCAGCAACCUCGGCGAGAACAACCCCGGCUGCUGCUGCGGCUGCCACUCGGGUUAUUUCCUCUGGGCUCAGCUGCAGCCUGCAGAGCUCUGCAAAGGGGAGGGGUUUCUUCGCUCCCUCCCUCCCGAGGGGGGUCCUGCCCCAGCCCCAGCCCCAGCGAUGGGACAGGAGUCAGGACCAGCCCCGGGCCGGUUGAAUUGAAAGCAAACCGUGGCAGCUCCACGCAAGGCGAGAGCGCUGGCAGGAUGCCCCGGGCUGGCGCCCCCGCUCCCAGCUGUCAGUGAAGGAGCGAAGCUUUGCGGCCGGGAUGUUCAGCUGGCACAAGAGCUUCACCCUGGGAGCGCCCUGGAGACAAGCAGGCAAGAAGAACUCACCAUCCAAGGGCAAGGUAGUGCUGACCAACAUGAAGAUACUGAGCAACGAAGAGAGUCAAACCCAAGGGUUGACAGGAGAGCCACCUGCAGCCAUGGACUUUCCAGAGGAAUCCAGGCUUCCCAAAGUCGACAUCCCAUUAGAAUGCCAGGGAAAUCUGGGCACAAGAGACACUUCUUCAAAACCAGACUAUGUGGCCACCCUGUCUGACCUCAGCACCUUAGAAUCCAAGUGCCAGCUUCACAGAUUCUCCAAAUUUGAAUCAGAGGAUUCUGGGGUUGAAUUGCCAAGUGGAGCCAAUUCUCCAUCUACACCAACGGGCUCAGAGAAGAGCUUUGUGCUUCACACCAGAGACUCGUCUUGUGACUCUGGAGUGCUCAGCACCUCUUCUUCUCCAGGAAUUGACCAUAUCAUAAUGAGAAAGUGUAAAGACAUCAGAGAAACCAGCCAGUGUGCUUCAGAUAGUGAAAAGCAAGUUGAAUAUUACAGCCAGGCAGCAGACAUGGUGCAGAUCCCUACAGCUUCCCUGGAAGAUUUCAGUGACCGUCAGAAGGGAGAAAGUCCUAAUAAACUUUUUGGCCAAAGUGAAGGACAAUAUUUUGAAGAGAAACCCAGGAAAGAGAUAGACCUUUCCAUUAAAGAAACUGCUCCAGCUGCUGCCCACAUUGAAGAGCAAAGGCCAAUCACCAACCGUUACAAAGAGACCUUUGGGAGGAUGCAAGAACUUCAGCUCCAUGGACAUCAGCUCAAAAAGUAUCCCACGAGCGACAGCCUGGAUGAGUACAUGGAUGAAUGCUGUCGAUUAAGUGAGGUGAACCAAGGGAACACCAAGGCUCUCGGCUCAGGUUUGGGGUAUCUGGAACACAUCUGCCAGCUGAUAGAGAAAAUUGGGCAGCUACAGGAGCACAAUCUGCGACUCCAAAAGCAAGUGUGCGGUUUGCAGAAGGAGCAGAAGAUGAACCAGAUAAAGGAGGAGUAUUUUCUGCAGCACUGUUCCUGUGGAGCUGCCAGCAUCUUGCUCAACUCAUACCAGGAGGUGAAGAAAUUUUUUAUUGGGAGGAGCAGACCGCACAGUCUCUUGGUUCAGAGUGGAAACCAGUCCGACCUUUCGAUCAUCCCAGAAAGAGGAAGUGACACACACCUGGAAUCAGGAGAUAGACAGCUGGUGCUGGGGCUCAGGAAGACCUGGAGUAAAAGGAGCAAUGAGGAGAAUGAACUCAGAGAUGCCUAUAAUCUGACUGAUGGCCGAGCUUUCCUGCUAAAGGACCCAAUUACGAAAAAGAGGGCUGACCUCGGCAAGAGUAUCCCAGGUGAAAGCCACGCUUGGGGCAGAAUGAGGGAUCUCAUGAAGAAGACCAGGCUGAGGAACCAGACCAAGUUGGGGCUGUCAUCGGCAGCUCUGAAGAGGUCCUGCCCACAGCUCUACAGGCCAGAUGUUAAGACUUCGGAUCGGAGGAAGAUGGAGAGGAACUCCAUGAUUGUUCUGGGACAAAGCACAAAAAAUGAAAACAUCUGGCCUUUCUGAGCAUCUGAAUCCAAUGGACCAAGGUAAAAGAGUUAUCAGGGAGGAGGCUUUUUCCUUCCUCCAGCAGAGAAGUGAUUUUGCAUCCCAUUACCAAGCUAUGUUUCCAUGGGCAAAGACUUGGGUAAGGUCUGAUUGCUGUAUGUAGCCCCAGUAACUAAGCCCAUGGAACUACUAUCAUUUACAAGAGCUGAGGAUAUGGCCCAUGUAUAUUUAUUGUAAAAUGAAGACUAAUUUGAGGUAAAACUGUCUAGAUUUUUAAGGAACAACAGGUAGUAAUCAAUGGCUCAAUGUCUAGUUGCCUCAGGGGUCUGUCAUGGGGCCAGUUUUGUUCAACAUCUUCAUUAAUGAUCUGGAUGAUGGGAUGGAUUGCACCCUCAGCAAGUUCAUGUGUGACACUAAGCUGGGGGGAGAGGUAGAUUCACUGGAGGGUAGGGAUAGGGUCCAGAGUGACCUAGAUAAAUUGAAAAUUUGGGCUAAAAGAAAUCUGAUGAUGUUCAACAAGGGCAAGUGCAGAGCCCAUGCACAGCUACAGGCUGGGGACCGACUGGCUAAGUGGCAGUUCUGCAGAAAAGGACUUGGGGAGUACAGUGGACGAGCAGCUGGAUAUGAGUCAGCAGUGUGCCCUUGUUGCCAAGAAGGCUAACUGCAUAUUGGGCUUCAUUAGUAGGAGCAUUGCCAGCAGAUCGAGGGAAGUGAUUAUUCCCCUCUAUUCUGCACUGCUGAGGCCACAUCUGGAGUAUUGUGUCCAAUUUUGAUCCCCCCACUACAGAAAGGAUGUGGACAAAUUGGAAAGAGUCCUUCGGAGGGCAACGAAAAUGAUUAGGGGGCUGGGGCACAUGACUUAUGAGGAGAGGCUGAGGGAAGUGGGCUUAUUUAGUCUGCAGAAGAGAAGAGUGAGGGGAGAUUUGACAGCAGCCUUCAACUACCUGAAGGGGGGUUCCAAAGAAGAUGGAGCUAGGCUGUUCUCAGUGGUGGCAGAUGACAGAACAAGGAGUAAUGGUCUCAGGUUGCAGUUGUGGAGGUCUAGGUUGGAUAUUAGGAAAAACUGUUUCACUAGGAGGUGGUGAAGCACUGGAAUGGGUUACCUAGGAAGGUGGUGUAAUCUCCAUCCUUAGAGGUUUUUAAGGUCAGGCUUGACAAAGCCCUGGCUGGGGUGAUUUAGUUGGGAUUGGUCCUACUUUGAGCAGGGGAUGGACUAGAUAACCUCCUGAGGUCUCUUCCAACCCUAAUCUUCUAUGAUUCUAUGAACAUUCUGACCAUAUUGUCUGCCCUCCUGUACAACUUAGGCCUCAGAUACUCACCCAGCAAUCCCUGCAUUAAACGCACUAACUUGCCAUUGAACUAGAGCAUAUAUUUCAGAGUGACAUCCAGUGAUGGAGAAUCCACCCCAUCCCUCAGCACUUGAGAGCAUCCCCAUAUUCAAACCUGAAUAAAAACAGAUUCACCCCAUCCUCUAGGUCA